GGGUUGCUACGUUUCCCCCUGGAGAUCAGUGAGGGCAUCCGCAUUUUCUGAACAACCUGUUUCUUCUCUCAUGACGUCCCUCUCCCCCACCGUAUUGCCGCCACCGCCGGCUCUCGACCGGCGCCGACCUAUUCCCGCGCCGCCGCUCACCGGAGCGGCACUGCGUUGGUCUCCUCCGCUAUUUCCCUGCCCCCGUGACGCCACUCCAUCCCCGUGUGUGACCCUAGCGGAAACCCUAUUUGACACAGUCGCCGGCGCCGUUGCCGCUGCUCCGGCGCCGAGGAAUCCCUGGCAUCCGAGUCCCGCCUUGGCCACCCUCCGCUCUCUGCAAGCGGGAUGUCCGAGGCCCUGUGCUCCAACUCCCAAGACAUUCCUUUCCCAUCCUCUUCGCAUCGCCAGAAUGGCCGCGGACCCUAACGAGCUCGGCCGGAGGGUCGUUGCCGUACGUAUUGUGGACUCCGACGCCGCCGGCACCAGCAAACUCAUGCGUGCCGUCGAGGACGCCGAGAAAACCAUCCGCCAGCAGGUGACCCUAGUGUCCAAUUCCCCAUCCCCCUCGCCCCGACCCUUUAUUGAGAGCGAAUCCUCUGUGAUGUCAUUGAUACGAGUGCCUGUAUCUCUUACGCACACGCACAGCUCGAGGAGAACGGCCGCCUGAAGGACAUAGGCAUGUACUUCAUAGGUUAACUAGCCAUCUUUCCACGCUUGGUUCGAGCUGAAGCUUAGUAAGGUGGUAGCAAAAUUCAGCUGAUGGGCAAGACCCAGGAGGUUCACAGAAUCCUACCGAUAUCAUCUUGUGGAAGUCUAGACGUGCUACAGUUGGUGUUAUAUUUGGUGCUACCAUUGCAUGGUGGUUGUUUGAGAAGUCUGAGCUGUCAUUCUUGACUAUCUGCUGUGAUUUACUGCUCAUUUUGACUUGCAGAGUAAGCAAGGAACCCAUAUCCCUGCUUUUAUGUUCUUAAAUAUUCCAACGGAGGUGUAUCUAUAUUUUCUUGUCGGUAAAUUAUUGUAGCCAACCUAGGAGUUAGUUUCUAAAGUGCAAGCUGUUAACUUCAACGGAAUUUAGUAGUCAAAGAUGGUCAUGAAAAUAAGAAAUUUCAGAAUUUCAUGAAAAUUCUUUUAGACCUUCAGUGUUCAGAGUGAGUGGAUUAAGCAUGUAUGGCUGCUGUUUGCAUAGGUUCUGUGGAGCUUACAGAUUGCUUAAAUUUAAUUGCUAGUCUUCCACAAGUGGCUUUUAUGUUUACUGUAGGUAGCUUCUCUUUUAUUGUAUGCACUAUCUUGGAUUACACUAACCAGAACAUGGUAUAUCUGUAAUUGAAGGUUUUUUCAAAUUCAUAUUUUGCAUUUCCAGACUUGAAAUCUUACCCCUGCAACAAUAUGUUUGUAGUGCGAUUAUGGACUCUGUUGGAUGUGAAGAUUCUUUAGCUAGAUGUUUGCAACCUAGAUGUUUCAUUGUGUCAAAAGGGCCAGGGCUCUAGCUAAUUGCUCCUUUUUUUGAGAUACUAGCUAACUGCUCUUUCAUACUGAAAGCAAGCAUCUAACAUACUGGAUCUACUUGGCUUCGUUUAUAUUUUGCUUUGUUGUUGUAGAUUUGAGAACUAUCUAGCAAUGUAGUGAUCAUUAGAUUUGUGCCGAAGUUUGUCUCCAUUGUCAGUUAAGGUGAAGUACCAAAACAUCAUGUUCUCAUUUGAUUCUCCAUUAAUAAACCCAAUGAAUACAACAAUUUCUCUUUGUUUCUCAUGAUCUUAUCUGAAAGUUACCAUGUAUCUCUUGAAUUGAUUAUAACUAAUUUCUUGAUGUUUACUUUGCGGGACUGGAAAACUUACAUUUGGUUUGACAUGUUCAUAUUUGUUCUUUUUUUAUUGAAGUUGUAGCUCUAUAAUUUGUAAUUCCUUGCAGUUUUCUUCUGCAUGGUUUUAUGGUCAUUUAACUGGGAAAAUAUUCGCUUUACAUUUCUCAUUAAAUUCAGUUGUACCUUCAGAUCAACUAGUGGUGGUCUCUCAUGUAUGUCAUGUUGAAGAUGACAAUGGACUUGAUCUGGAGUGGUAUUUGGUUCACACAUGGGACAUACAAAUACAACAUAGUUUUUGAAUGAAUUACCCGUUAUAAUUAAUAUUGCAUAAGGGAAAUACCUGUAGCUUGAUUGCAUGUGAAUGCCAAAUUCUAUAUCUAUCAGUACACACAUGAAAUUUUAACCACUUUAUUAUAUCUAUCAGUAAAGUUUUUGAAUGAAUUGCCCCUUGUAAUUAAUAUCCGUUAUAAUUAUAUCUAUCAGCUCAUGAUAGAAUUUAACCCAAGGUAAGGACAAACUUAUCCGUGUUGUUGUUUCAAAUGUCCUUAUUUCUUUACCAGUAGAUUAGGAAUAAACCGUCUGGUAGUAAACCAAGGGGCAAUUAACUAUAUGUCAUUGAGUGAGUGCGACAUGGAUUGCUCGUGUAGUAUACUGUGAUUAGAUGGUUGGAUACCUAUUGAUUACUUGUCUCAUCGAUCAUUAUCUGGUUGUUCUCGGAAGCAUUAGUUAGGCUGUGUAUGUUACAUAAGUAACUACCUCUGGAUUGGUUAAUUGCUCUCGUGUGGCGCUAUUUUUCCCCAUCCAUCGUCUUUAAUGUAAGAUCAGAGUUACUCGCUGAUCAUGCAUGCACCCUCCUCCCUCCAUCGUAUUAUCAAAUAUUUAAUUCAUCUGAAGUCUGCAUCAGUUGCUUGUUUUAGAUGCCCUGUUGUCUUAUGCCUUGCCCAUCUCCCCCUCACUAUUUGAAUCACAAUCACUAUCUAUGUGUGAACUUGAAACAUGCAAGCAACUUCCCAAUUAUUAUCUUACUUAUCUUAGACCCCAAACUGUUGCACAGACCAUACUAGUUCAACAGACCAAACUGUUGCACAGACCAUACUAGACCCCAAACUGUUGCACAGACCCCAGCUGCUCUUUCUUUAAUAUUGGAACCCUUUUUUUGUGUCCACUGCUCUCGAAACUUUUCCUUCUUAUUUGUAUCUGUUAGGGGCUUGUGAUUGUAAAGCUUACAAGAUUUUCUGUGGUUUCCAUCAUCGAUGGCAAGAAAAGAGCAGAAUAAUGUUAAAUUACCCCAGAAAGACAUCACCAGAGCAUGACAUCGGAUAUUUGUGCUCAUGUGUGCAAUCUGGAAGGGAGGGCAAAAGUAUAUUAUCCAUCUUCACUAAAAUCCAGGUGACUGAAUUAUUGUUUUACUACCCUACUUUGUGUGUAGUUCAUGAUUCUUAAAGCUAUCAACAUGGGUCAGCAACGACAAGAUCCAGUUGCUCAAUGGAAGGUGGUGAUAGUGGGGAGACAGAGGCGGUGGUGGAUGUGCUCGAGUUCACUGUCACAGGGGGGGCCAUGGGUUGACAUCUCCAUAAGCAGGCCAAAGCAGGCACAAGUGAGCCGCUCGCCCCAAGCAGCUAGCCACUCUUCUUCUCACUCUCCAUCCAUUGCCUCUCUCUAAAUGUCUCUGUUUUAUUGUCUUUCCUUCUUCUCAUUUCCAGCAUGAAGGCAUCACUGGCUGUUGUUGCUACCAGUAGAGAGGAUAGAAUUCAGUAACAUGUCUGUAAUUGCAGUGGCAAUAAUGGCUAGAGGAUAGAAUUCCAACUGAACUGUUGGGUGAAGAUUUAUGUUGAAAAGAUUUUGUGUUCCGUGAAACAACGGAUGACCUGGCAUCGGAUCCAGUGCUUGAAGAUGCAUACGCCCUCAAGAUGCUUCAGAUUUUAUUGCAAUGUUGCAGGUUUGCUCACACAAUGGUAACAUCUGAUCCUUACAAUGCAUUCUUUUUUUCGAGAAAACGCAAAGGACCUUUGCGUUUCAUUUCAUUGAAAAGGAAGAGUUUGGGUUACAUCCUCCUAGGAGGCAAAACACAGGAAAAUGCAAGAAAAGAUCAGUGCACGUCCCAGGUGGCAAUGCAUUCUUUUUGGCGGCCUACAAAGAUAUUUUUGUGCAUAUUUAUUUAUGUAAAUACAUAUGAGGCCUGUUUAUGGCUCAUCCCUGAUCUAUAAUCUAAAUAGACUGAGAAGCUUUCUUUUCAACGAUUUUUCUAGACAUGUUGGUCCACAUGAUCAUUUAUAUAUCAUCGCCUGUGUUUCACAUAGAUUUCUUCAUUUUAACAAUUUGAUCAACAAUAUCAUAAAAAUAGGGAUAACUGAUAGUUUGGAUGAACACGUGUAUAUUGAACUCCAUAUAUUAUGUUAUUAUGAGAAAGAAUUCAAUCCAUGUUCUGAUAUCUAAUUUUAAUAUUUUGGCUGCUUGCAAGUGCCACUUUUGAGUUCUCUCUGCUCAUUAUAAGAAUAUCAGCUCCAGAGUUCUCUUGCUAUCAGGUUACCAAUGAACCACCGGUUACUUUUCUUAGUUUAUAAAAAAUGGGAAUAUAUUAUUUCAGCUUAUAAGUAUUUUUUUAACCAAAAACAGUAUUCCAACUUCACCUGUCUAUAUUGCAAAAAAGACCUGAUUGUACUUUUUUUUUUUUGAACUUGGGCUUAUAUUAAUAAUUAAGAUGGAGCAAUUCUGUUACAGUCACUCUCGGCAUAACACAUCACACAGGAUGGUAGAGAGCCGAGUAAAACACACACACCGGAAGCAAGAAGCCCUAACCUAGCUAGCUCAUGAGCUACCUGGUUGUUUCCUCUGUUUACCUUGGAUAUACUGUAAGUAGGGAAACCCAAAAGCAAAGUCUUAGUAUCUUUCACGACAUCAGCAAUGGCUGAUUUUGAGGUAGUAGGUCCUUUCAGUUCACUGAUUAGAGUGGCACAGUCGCUUUCGACAGUGAUAGGGCCUGCGAAGCUCGGGAUGGUAGCUUUGAUUCCUUAAGCAAGCAAACGCUUCAGCGGCUUCAGCGUUGCUACAAUGUUGAAUGUUUCCCCAAGCAGACAAAAUAAUGGUACCAUUUUUGUCACGCAGAACAGCUCCCCAGGCUCCUGAGUUUGUGUCUUCACUGAAACUUGCAUCAGUAUUCAGCUUUGCCCAUCCCAUAUCUGGAGGUUUCCAACCUUCAGCGAUUUUCUUUGGCUUGGAAUCUGUUUGUUCGUCUUGGCAGAAAACAGGCUUUUUACCUUUAGGGUCUACCACGUCCCAGUUUGUGUUGGUUACCUGCAUAGGAGAUAAGUAUGAUUGUAGAAAAAUAGCAGACUCUUCGAUGUUACAUUUACCAUCUCCAAAAAUGAUGUUGUUUCGCAGGUGCCAAGACCUCCACCAGAGUAGCAUGAGCUUCGAUCUUGUCUCAGUAUCAACCUGAUUGAGCAAGAUCAGCACCCAGUCCUUGCCGGUGAAUUUUAGUUUCUCUUCAUCUGGGAGAUACCAUGUGUCCCUCAUUUUCUGUCUCAGGGCUUUAGCCUUCGUACAAAUCAUAACAGCAUGGUGGCUAGUUUCUGCUUCCACUCCACAGAUUUGACACGUUGGAAGAUGCUCCAUGUUUCUUUCAUAUCUAAGAACUUGAACUCCCAGUGUAUCAGUCGCAAGCUUCCAAGCAAACACACGAACCUUUGGUGGCACUUUUGCAUUCCAAAUAAUUUUCCAUAAAUCUCUUUCGCCCGGGGGCCUGCAGCUCUGUCCAGCCCCAUCAGUCUUUGAAUUUAUCUCAACUGCGAGUCUGUAAGCACUCUUAACCGAGAAAAAACCAUUGUUCUCAUGGUUCCAUGCAAUGUAGUCAUUCCCAUUGAAAGAAGGUAUUCUGAUAUUCAGGACCAUUUCAGCAUCUGGUGGGUGGAAGAUUGUGCGCACCAGAUCUUCUUUCCAAGACUUAGAAGAAGGGUCGAUAAAGUCGGACACCCAUCUUAGUCUUGAUUUACUAGCAUUUCCAAAAACCUUUAGGUUUCCUCUAGGCACCCAGUUGUCUCGCCAAAUCCUAAUUUUUUCGCCAUUGACGACGCGCCAGAUUACACCUUUUUUCAGUAGAUCCAGCCCGUGGGCAAUUCCUUGCCAACAAGGGGAGGAAUUUUUGAUGAAGGCAGUGUCGAUUAGAUCACCAGCUGGGUAGUAUCUCGCUUUAAGCACUCUUGCACAUAAACUCUCAGGGUGCUCAAUCAGCCGCCAAGCUUGUUUAGCCAAGAGGGCUUGGUUGAAAAGCCGCAAAUCUCUAAAUCCAAUGCCACCCUGCAGUUUUGGUCUUGUCAUUUUGUCCCAGCCCAUCCAGUGUGUUUUCCUUUGAUCCUCUUCAUCCCCCCACCAGAAGUUUCUAAUGAUUUGGGAAAGGUCAUCACAUAGGCCAGCUGAAAACUUGAAAACGCUCAUAGCAUGACAGGGUAUUGCUUGAGCGACAGAUUUUACUAAAGUUUCUUUUGCUGCAGAGGACAUGUUUUUCUCUGACCAGUCUGUACACUUUUUUCGCAGUCUCUCCUUGGUGUACUGGAGUUUACCAUUUUUCAUCCUACCUUCAGGGAUUGGUAGACCCAGAUACUUUCCAUCAAGAGUCGAGAUAUCAGCUUUCAACAGAUUUGCCACAGCUUCCCCUUCGUUAUGGCUGCAAUUUUGCCCCAACAUCAGAGUGCAUUUCUGUUGGUUCAGCAACUGCCCCGACCCUCUUUCAUAGCUGCGCAGAAUGUCAUUAACAGUUGCUGCCUGAUUCAAACUUGCUUGGAAAAAUAAGAGGCUGUCAUCAGCAAAGAGAAGUGUAAAUAAGUGAUCACCACCAUGGUUUUCAUCCAUGAAGGAAUCUGAUUGUCCAAGCGCAUCCAGGAACCUCCGUUCUGCAAGCUGCACCAUAACUGAUAAGGCAGACACCAUGAUAUUUAUUUCCAUUUGAUUUUGCUACUAGGAUACCAUGAUAUUAUCUACUUGUACAAAUACAGUAGACAGCAUGCAUUCAAUGUUCGCAGCUCUUGAUGGCAAUUUAGCUUAACAUCGUGGAUCAUUAUUGUAUACUUACAAUACUUGGAAUGGUAUUAUGUUUUUCUCUUAAAUCUUAUUAACCUUCCUCUGUAUGGAUCUAUGGUAGGGAAAUUUUAUUCUCAAUUACCAAAUUAAAUCACAGACAUUCUCAUAUACUUUCUUCCUCACAUAUAGAACAUGUACUUUCUCAUCAGCCAAUGCAUGUAGAACAGGAUUAGAGGGCACCUGUCAGACAUUCUUCUCUCAGCGACAGUGAUACACUGGAUACUCUCACAGAUUAUGAACUUAUGGUGAAGGGUCUUCCACAUAUUAGUGCUGAAUCAGAUGACCAUUUCAUAUUGAUUACAAGUCAGCUUUCUAAGCUCUGUCAUAUAGUAUUGCUUCAUUCUGCAAUGUACAUUCUUAUUUAAAUAGCAGCACUUUGUAUCUGAAAAUGCAUCACUGGACCAUCUGAAAAUGCAUCACGGGAGCAGCACUGAUAUGCUACAAAGAAUAUGAGUAUGUAAUUACUUUUUUGUGCUAUGAAGCUGUCACCUACUUGAGUUACCGUAAAUCACAGGCUUAUUCUUCAGCAAGCAAUUCAAGUGAUUGGAGUUAUGUUGCAUGAAUUCAAAAUUACCGACAUGGGUGACGGUGAUCUGACUACUUGGUCAGAAUGGGAUGACAAGGAAGAUGGUAACGAAGCUGUCCAGCAAUGGGAGAUGGUUGGACGUCUGGAGAAACUAAAAUACUCAGAUGAAGUGAACUAGUUGCCUAGCAAUGGCAAGCUACCGUACAUCUGUCUUCGUUGAGGCAUGGAGGAUCAUUGUGAAUAUUGGUUCCAUGUUUUCUUCAGGUUAUGUAAUGAUGUCAUAAGUUAAUUGCGAAUAAAUGAUGUUAUAAGUUAACUGAACAGUAAUAGCAUUGGUCAUACUACAUCAA